AUGACUCAUGUCUUUUGUCAUAUUUGAGACGUUUUCAGUCAUUAUUUCUUCAAGUCUUUCAGAUUGAGGUGCAGCCCGUGGUAGGUAUGAGGACAGUAGCAGCCCCCGCUGCGCUGAGCUGAGGUCUUCCCAGAGUCAGGUUGCUUGGGAAUACAGUCCCAAGCAGGUGGUAAACUCCAUCUAAGGCUAAAUACUGGGACAAGACCAAUAGUCGAGAAGUACCAUAAGA
rnacentral:ncRNA from 1 species